rnacentral:tRNA from 1 species
AUUGUCUUGACAGAAUAUUGUAAUAAAUUUAGAUUUUAUUUAUAUAGAGGGGUUUCUAUAGAUAAUA